AGUGGAAUUGCUGGGUGAUAUGGUAGUUCACUAACUUUUUGAGGAACCAUCAAACUAUUUUCCAGAGUGGCUUCAUCAUUUUACAUUUCCACCAGCAAU
rnacentral:pre_miRNA from 1 species